UUUGACCUCAAAUCAGGUAGGACUACCCGCUGAACUUAAGCAUAUCAAUAAGCGGAGGAAAAGAAACUAACAAGGAUUCCCCUAGUAACUGCGAGUGAAGCGGGAUAAGCUCAAAUUUGAAAUCUGGCAGUCUUUUUUUUCUUCUUUGGCUGUCCGAGUUGUAAUCUAGAGAAGUGCUACCUGCACUGGACCAUGUAUAAGUCUCCUGGAAUGGAGCCUCAUAGAGGGUGAGAAUCCCGUCUUUGACAUGGACUGCCAGUGUGUUGUGGUGUGCUCUCAAAGAGUCGAGUUGUUUGGGAAUGCAGCUCUAAAUGGGUGGUAAACUCCAUCUAAAGCUAAAUAUUGGCGAGAGACCGAUAGCGAACAAGUACCGUGAGGGAAAGAUGAAAAGGACUUUGGAAAGAGAGUUAAACAGUAUGUGAAAUUGUUGAAAGGGAAACGCUUGAAGUCAGUUAUGUUGGCUAGGGAUCAACCUAGCUAUUUUUGCUGGGUGAAUUUCCUAGUUUGACAGGCCAACAUCAGUCUUGACUGCUGGAAAAGAGCAGAGGGAAUGUGGCACCUUUGGGUGUGUUAUAGCCUUUUGUCAUAUGUGGCAGUUGGGACUGAGGGAUGCAGCGUGCCGCGAGGCUGGGUUUCGACCACGUUCACGCUUAGGAUGUUGGCUUUUAAUGGCUUCAAUCGACCCGUCUUGAAACACGGACCAAGGAGUCUAACAUGCCUGCGAGUGUUUGGGUGGAAAACCCUUGUGCACAAUGAAAGUGAAAGUUGAGAUCCCUGUCAUGGGGAGCAUCGACGCCCGGACUGGAGCUUUUAGCAAUGGAUCCGCGGUAGAGCAUGCAUGUUGGGACCCGAAAGAUGGUGAACUAUGCCUGAAUAGGGCAAAGCCAGAGGAAACUCUGGUGGAGGCUCGUAGCGAUUCUGACGUGCAAAUCGAUCGUCAAAUUUGGGUAUAGGGGCGAAAGACUAAUCGAACCAUCUAGUAGCUGGUUCCUGCCGAAGUUUCCCUCAGGAUAGCAGAAGCUCAUUAUCAGAUUUAUGUGGUAAAGCGAAUGAUUAGAGGCCUUGGGGUUGAAACAACCUUAACCUAUUCUCAAACUUUAAAUAUGUAAGAACGAGCUGUCACUUGAUUGGAC
rnacentral:rRNA from 1 species